rnacentral:snRNA from 1 species
AGAUGAGUGUAACCUGUUUGCAACCCCUCGUCACCCACUGACUGCCAGGUUGACUCUGCUGACUCAGCUACCUAAGCUGAUGUUUUUUUUCUCCUCCCUCACUAUUCUGUGCAUGUCCCUUCCAAAGAUGCAUGCUUGGGAGGUUAAAGAGGACAGUCAUUUGUCAGGCAAGGAUACUGGAGUAGUCGUGCGCUCCUGCCAGAACCUUCAAACAAGUUCUCCAAAGAUAAGAGCCAGGCAAGAUGCUUCAUUCCUGCAAUCUCGACUGCCACAGGUUUGAGGC